UUCACAACCCCAGACACUUCCUUCACAGCCACAGGGCUUUCAACCUGGCAUUCCCACUCCAUCACAGCCAAUUGAUCUCAGCACUCUGGUGGAGGGUCCUGGAGCGGCAAAGCAAGCUGCUCGUCCGCCAGCUCCUACUGCUGUGCGCCCUGGCCAGGUACUAUGUUUUUCCUGAAAACAAAUCUGAUGGAUCGGGAUCAUUUCCUUGACACCCUCAUCCAUGGUUACAGGUACCGCGUGGUGCUCCUGCAGCAGAAUGCUACAAGAUGGCUCUUGCUCACCUUGAGCAGAAUCAGCUUACCGAUGCACUAUCUUGUUUGGAUGAAGCAUUCUUGGCCCUCGCAAAGGACCAGUCACGUGAAGCUGAUAUCAAAGCGCAGGCCACCAUUUGUGCUCAGUAUAAGAUUGCAGUUGCUCUGCUACAGGUAAUUUAAUUUCUGAUAUGGCAUGAAGACAUAAUAGGAUGUGCCUCCUAAUUUAUGCUCAGUAUAAGAUUGCAGUUGCCCUAGCUCAGUUUUGAUUUCAAUGCAGGAAAUUGCUCGCCUGCAAAGGGUUCAAGGCGCUGGUACUCUCAGUGCUAAGGAGGAAAUGGCCAGGCUAUCUCGGCACCUCGCUUCCCUACCCAUCCAAGCCAAGCACCGGAUCAACUGCAUCAGGACCGCCAUCAAGCGGAACAUGGAGGUCCAGAACUACGCCUACGCCAAGCAGAUGCUGGACCUCCUCUACUCCAAGGCGCCCCCCACGAAGCAGGACGAGCUCAAGAGCCUGAUCGACAUGUGCGUCCAGAGAGGGCUGACGAACAAGUCCAUCGACCCGUUCGAGGACCCCUCGCAGUUCUGCUCCGUGACCCUCAGCCGGCUCUCGACCAUCGGGCACGACGUGUGCGACCUCUGCGGCGCCAAGUUCUCGGCGCUCUCAGCGCCGGGGUGUGUCAUCUG
rnacentral:lncRNA from 1 species